AGAUUGAACGCUGGCGGCAGGCCUAACACAUGCAAGUCGAGCGGCAGCACGGGUACUUGUACCUGGUGGCGAGCGGCGGACGGGUGAGUAAUGCCUAGGAAUCUGCCUGGUAGUGGGGGAUAACGCUCGGAAACGGACGCUAAUACCGCAUACGUCCUACGGGAGAAAGCAGGGGACCUUCGGGCCUUGCGCUAUCAGAUGAGCCUAGGUCGGAUUAGCUAGUUGGUGGGUAAUGGCUCACCAAGGCGACGAUCCGUAACUGGUCUGAGAGGAUGAUCAGUCACACUGGAACUGAGACACGGUCCAGACUCUACGGGAGCAGCAGUGGGAAUAUUGGACAAUGGGACGAAAGCCUGAUCCAGCCAUGCCGCGUGUGUGAAGAAGGUCUCGGAUUGUAAGCACGUUAAGUGGAGAAGGCAAGUUACUAAUACGUAUCUUGUUUGACGUUACCGA
rnacentral:rRNA from 1 species